AGAGUUUGAUCCUGGCUCAGGACGAACGCUGGCGGUGUGCUUAAGACAUGCAAGUCGUGCGGACCGUAGCAAUACGGUCAGCGGCGGACGGGUGAGUAACACGUGGAUAACCUGCCUGGCUCCCCGGGAUAACAGGCCGAAAGGCCUGCUAAUACCGGGUAAGCUCACGGGGCCGCAUGGUCCUGGGAGAAAAGCUCCUGCAAGGGAGUGGGGUCAGAGGGGUCCGCGGCCCAUUAGCUAGUUGGGGGGGUAACGGCCCACCAAGGCGACGAUGGGUAGCCGGCCUGAGAGGGCGACCGGCCACACUGGGACUGAGACACGGCCCAGACUCCUACGGGAGGCAGCAGUCGGGAAUUUUGGGCAAUGGCCGAAAGGGCUGACCCAGCAACACCGCGUGAGUGAAGAAGGCCUUCGGGUUGUAAAGCUCUGUUACCCAUGAAGAACGGUGCUCAGAGGAAAUGCUGAGUACUUGACGGUAGUGGGGGAGGAAGCUCCGGCUAACUACGUGCCAGCAGCCGCGGUAAUACGUAGGGAGCGAGCGUUGUCCGGAUUUAUUGGGCGUAAAGGGCGUGUAGGCGGCUUGUUAAGUCUGGAGUGAAAAUCCGGGGCUCAACCCCGGAACUGCUUCGGAUACUGAUGAGCUUGAGUACUCUAGAGGGCAGUGGAAUUCCCGGUGUAGCAGUGAAAUGCGUAGAGAUCGGGAGGAACACCAGUGGCGAAAGCGGCUUUCUGGACAGUAACUGACACUGAGCGCGAAAGCGUGGGGAGCAAACAGGAUUAGAUACCCUGUAGUCCACGCCGUAAACGAUGGAUACUAGGUGUUGGGGGAAGCCCUUCAGUGCCGAAGCUAACGCAUUAAGUACUCCGCCUGGGGAGUACGGCCGCAAGGUUAAAACUCAAAUGAAUUGACGG
rnacentral:rRNA from 1 species